GGAGUUUGGACCGUGUCUCAGUUCCAAUGUGGGGGACCUUCCUCUCAGAACCCCUACUGAUCGAUGGCUUGGUGGGCCAUUACCCCGCCAACAACCUAAUCAGACGCAUCCCCAUCCCUUAGCAAUAAAUCUUUGGUUCACUUUAGAUGCCUGCGAUGAACAACAUAGGGUAUUAAUCCGACUUUCGCCGGGCUAUGCCCUACUAAGGGGAAGGUUGGAUACGCGUUACUCACCCGUGCGCCGGUCGCCGACAGUGUAUUGCUACACCCCGCUGCCCCUCGACUUGCAUGUGUUAGGCCUGCCGCUAGCGUUCAUCCUGAGCCAGGAUCAAAACUCU
rnacentral:rRNA from 1 species